UCCUACGGGGGGCUGCAGUCGAGAAUCUUCGGCAAUGGGCGAAAGCCUGACCGAGCGACGCCGCGUGGAGGAAGAAGGCCUUCGGGUUGUAAACUCCUGUUGGGGGGAAUCAAUAAAUGAGAGCACCCCUGAGGAAGCACGGGCUAAGUUCGUGCCAGCAGCCGCGGUAAGACGAACCGUGCAAACGUUAUUCGGAAUCAUUGGGCUUAAAGAGCGCGUAGGCGGCGUCGUAAGUUAGAGGUGAAAUCCCAUCGGCUCAACCGUGGAACUGCCCCUAAUACUGCGAUGCUUGAGGGAGGUAGGGGCAUGUGGAACUUCCAGUGGAGCGGUGAAAUGUGUUGAGAUUGGAAGGAACGCCAGUGGCGAAAGCGACGUGCUGGAUCUCUUCUGACGCUGAGGCGCGAAAGCUAGGGUAGCGAACGGGAUUAGAUACCCGGGUAGUCAC
rnacentral:rRNA from 1 species